AGAGUUUGAUCCUGGCUCAGGACGAACGCUGGCGGCGUGCCUAAUACAUGCAAGUCGAACGCUUCUUUUUCCACCGGAGCUUGCUCCACCGGAAAAAGAAGAGUGGCGAACGGGUGAGUAACACGUGGGUAACCUGCCCAUCAGAAGGGGAUAACACUUGGAAACAGGUGCUAAUACCGUAUAACAAUCAAAACCGCAUGGUUUUGAUUUGAAAGGCGCUUUCGGGUGUCGCUGAUGGAUGGACCCGCGGUGCAUUAGCUAGUUGGUGAGGUAACGGCUCACCAAGGCCACGAUGCAUAGCCGACCUGAGAGGGUGAUCGGCCACAUUGGGACUGAGACACGGCCCAAACUCCUACGGGAGGCAGCAGUAGGGAAUCUUCGGCAAUGGACGAAAGUCUGACCGAGCAACGCCGCGUGAGUGAAGAAGGUUUUCGGAUCGUAAAACUCUGUUGUUAGAGAAGAACAAGGAUGAGAGUAACUGUUCAUCCCUUGACGGUAUCUAACCAGAAAGCCACGGCUAACUACGUGCCAGCAGCCGCGGUAAUACGUAGGUGGCAAGCGUUGUCCGGAUUUAUUGGGCGUAAAGCGAGCGCAGGUGGUUUCUUAAGUCUGAUGUGAAAGCCCCCGGCUCAACCGGGGAGGGUCAUUGGAAACUGGGAGACUUGAGUGCAGAAGAGGAGAGUGGAAUUCCAUGUGUAGCGGUGAAAUGCGUAGAUAUAUGGAGGAACACCAGUGGCGAAGGCGGCUCUCUGGUCUGUAACUGACGCUGAGGCUCGAAAGCGUGGGGAGCAAACAGGAUUAGAUACCCUGGUAGUCCACGCCGUAAACGAUGAGUGCUAAGUGGUGGAGGGUUUCCGCCCUUCAGUGCUGCAGCUAACGCAUUAAGCACUCCGCCUGGGGAGUACGACCGCAAGGUUGAAACUCAAAGGAAUUGACGGGGGCCCGCACAAGCGGU
rnacentral:rRNA from 1 species